rnacentral:rRNA from 1 species
AUUGAACGCUGGCGGCAGGCCUAACACAUGCAAGUCGAACGAGUGGCGGACGGGUGAGUGAUGUCUGGGAAACUGCCUGAUGGAGGGGGAUAACUAGUGGAAACGUUAGCUAAUACCGCAUACCAUCGGAUGUGCCCAGAUGGGAGUAGCUAGUAGGUGGGGUAAAGGCUCACCUAGACGACGAUCCCUAGCUGGUCUGAGAGGAUGACCAGCCACACUGGAACUGAGACACGGUCCAGACUCCUACGGGAGGCAGCAGUGGGGAAUAUUGCACAAUGGGCGAAAGCCUGAGGCAGCAAUGCCGCGUGUAUGAAGAAGGCCUUCGGGUUGUAAAGUACUGUCAGUGGGGAGGCGUUACCCGCAGAAGAAGCACCGGCUAACUACGUGCCAGCAGCCGCGGUAAUAC